rnacentral:rRNA from 1 species
AACGAACGCUGGCGGCAUGCCUAAUACAUGCAAGUCGAACGAGACCUUCGGGUCUAGUGGCGCACGGGUGCGUAACGCGUGGGAAUCUGCCCUUGGGUUCGGAAUAACAGCUGGAAACGGCUGCUAAUACCGGAUGAUGACGUAAGUCCAAAGAUUUAUCGCCCAGGGAUGAGCCCGCGUAGGAUUAGCUAGUUGGUGGGGUAAAGGCCUACCAAGGCGACGAUCCUUAGCUGGUCUGAGAGGAUGAUCAGCCACACUGGGACUGAGACACGGCCCAGACUCCUACGGGAGGCAGCAGUAGGGAAUAUUGGACAAUGGGCGCAAGCCUGAUCCAGUAAUGCCGCGUGAGUGAUGAAGGCCUUAGGGUUGUAAAGCUCUUUUACCCGAGAUGAUAAUGACAGUAUCGGGAGAAUAAGCUCCGGCUAACUCCGUGCCAGCAGCCGCUGUAAGAC